rnacentral:misc_RNA from 1 species
AACGCAUAUUGCACCCUUUCGGGGGUAUGCCUGUUUGAGAAUCUAUAGUAUUCUUUUUAAAAAAAGACUUGGCGCUUCUCAGUGUGACUCUGAGUGCGCUUAAAACUAUAGCUUGGGGUCUUUUAGAUGCCGUAGCAAAAUUGUUUGAAGCUUUCCAAGCAACCUGCAACUAGCUACGGGAAAAACAUCUAAAUAACACCAACUACUAAACCAAGGAGGCCUAAACAAGCCCGAACCAUGGUCUCAAAUCAGGUAGGAGGACCCGCUGAACUUAA